ACCUUUUUCCUACCAAAUAAUAGACAAGAAACUACAUUUUCUUGAUUAAAAUUCUAAAUCUUGGAAACAAUUUAAAAAUAUAUGUAAGCACAAGAAUAUGAUAGAGCAUUAUGGCAGUACAUGUAGUCGAAGUCACCUAUUGAUAUUGAUAUUAAAGUUUGGUUGUUGUUUUGUAGCAAGAACAUCAAGAAAGAACCACAACCAGCUUAUACUGCUUCUUAAUCUGAACUUCAAUCCUUCCCCAUGCGUUAGCGAUCGCCUCGAUAAUGGAAGUGUUGCCAAUUCGGCAAUUCCCAUCUCCAACCCUUCAUUUCUCAUCACCAAAAAUAUGCACGUACACCUAUUGGCAGAAAGAUAAAUCAAAGUCCUUAAAAGAAUGCACAAAUAUCCGUAAUCAAGAUUCUUCCAGUUUCUUUGAAAUCAUAUCAAAUGCUCGAGCUUGGUUUGAACUAGGAGUGUUUCUUUUUCAGUAGUGGAACUAAUUUCGUCAAUUCAGCGAUCUUCUACUGUGAAGAAUCAGAAGACACGUUGAGAAGAGUGGGGAGGUUUUCUUUGCGGCAGCUCGUGCGGCGGAGAAGAGGAGUGGAAGGCGGAGGGUGGUUUGGACAUGGUGGUGCGGCAAUGAGAAUGCGGAUAACAAACAUAAAAUUGAAAGCACAACAUGUCGGAGAAGAAGAAAGUGGACGAAUCUGUGAAGCGAAGGUAGUGAAUCUGAGCAAAGUUAAUCGAAGAAGAUGAAAUAGAAGAAGUGAAGAAUUUGGAGAUGGGAGAAGAGAGAGAAGUAUGAUAGAAUGGCAGGUACAUCACUGAUUUUCGCACU
rnacentral:lncRNA from 1 species